rnacentral:rRNA from 1 species
CCUACGGGAGGCAGCAGUGAGGAAUAUUGGUCAAUGGGCGGGAGCCUGAACCAGCCAAGUCGCGUGAGGGAUGACGGCCCUAUGGGUUGUAAACCUCUUUUGCCGGGGAGCAAAGUGCGGCACGUGUGCGGUUUGGCGCGUACCCGGAGAAAAAGCAUCGGCUAACUCCGUGCCAGCAGCCGCGGUAAUACGGGGGAUGCUAGCGUUAUCCGGAUUUAUUGGGUUUAAGGGGUGCGUAGGCGGACGCUUAAGUCAGCGGUAAAAGUGCGGGGCUCAACCUCGUCGAGCCGUUGAAACUGGGUGGCUUGAGUGGGCGAGAGGUAAGCGGAAUGCGUGGUGUAGCGGUGAAAUGCAUAGAUAUCACGCAGAACUCCGAUUGCGAAGGCAGCGUACCGGCGCCCAACUGACGCUGAGGCACGAAGGCGUGGGUAUCGAACAGGAUUAGAUACCCUAGUAGUC